rnacentral:rRNA from 1 species
UACGGAGGGUGCGAGCGUUGUCCGGAAUCAUUGGGCGUAAAGGGCACGCAGGCGGUCUUUUAAGUUUGGAGUGACAGUUGGUGGCUUAACUGCCAAAGUGCUUCGAAAACUGACAGACUUGAGGGCUUCAGAGGGACACGGAAUUCCGGGUGGAGUGGUGAAAUGCGUAGAGAUCCGGAGGAACACCAAAGGCGAAGGCAGUGUCCUGGGGAGUACCUGACGCUCAGGUGCGAAAGCCAGGGGAGCGAACGGG